rnacentral:rRNA from 1 species
AAUCUUGUUUAUAAAUAAGGUCUUAAAAAACAAAUUAUUCUGUUAUCCCUGAGGUAUUUUAUUUUUUCUUUUUUCUUCUUUGAUUUUAAAUUAAAAUUUUUUUAUAAAUUUACCCCAAAUAAACUUUUAUUAAAAAUCUCAAGGUCUUCUCGUCUUACUUGAUUAAAAAUUUUUUUAUCUUCAUUUAAUUUUUCUUUUAUUUUUAUUUUAUUUGCUAAAAUUUUUUUCUUUCAUGCUGGAUUGCAAUUAACAAUCUGUUGAUUACCCUACCUUACCGUUUUACGGCUUUUUAUUUAAAAACAAUUACCAAAAUUA